AUUGAACGCUGGCGGCAUGCCUUACACAUGCAAGUCGAACGGCAGCGGGGGAGAAGCUUGCUUUUCCUGCCGGCGAGUGGCGAACGGGUGAGUAAUACAUCGGAAUGUGCCCUGUAGUGGGGGAUAACUAGUCGAAAGAUUAGCUAAUACCGCAUACGACCUGAGGGUGAAAGUGGGGGACCGCAAGGCCUCAUGCUAUAGGAGCGGCCGAUGUCUGAUUAGCUAGUUGGUGGGGUAAAGGCCUACCAAGGCGACGAUCAGUAGCUGGUCUGAGAGGACGAUCAGCCACACUGGGACUGAGACACGGCCCAGACUCCUACGGGAGGCAGCAGUGGGGAAUUUUGGACAAUGGGCGAAAGCCUGAUCCAGCAAUGCCGCGUGUGUGAAGAAGGCCUUCGGGUUGUAAAGCACUUUUGUCCGGAAAGAAAUGGCUCUGGUUAAUACCUGGGGUCGAUGACGGUACCGGAAGAAUAAGGACCGGCUAACUACGUGCCAGCCGCCACAGUAA
rnacentral:rRNA from 1 species